CCGAAAGGCUAGGGCAAUGGCAGGCUUGUGAAUUGUGUCAGAUCCGGAAGGAAGCAGCACUAAGCAGGAUCUGCUAUGUGCCUGAUUAUAUUGUUGAUU
rnacentral:SRP_RNA from 1 species